UGGGGAAUAUUGCACAAUGGGCGAAAGCCUGAUGCAGCGACGCCGCGUGAAGGAUGAAGUAUUUCGGUAUGUAAACUUCUAUCAGCAGGGAAGAAAAUGACGGUACCUGACUAAGAAGCCCCGGCUAACUACGUGCCAGCAGCCGCGGUAAUACGUAGGGGGCAAGCGUUAUCCGGAUUUACUGGGUGUAAAGGGAGCGUAGACGGCAUUGCAAGCCAGAUGUGAAAGCCCGGGGCUCAACCCCGGGACUGCAUUUGGAACUGCAGGGCUGGAGUGUCGGAGAGGCAAGUGGAAUUCCUAGUGUAGCGGUGAAAUGCGUAGAUAUUAGGAGGAACACCAGUGGCGAAGGCGGCUUGCUGGACGAUGACUGACGUUGAGGCUCGAAAGCGUGGGGAGCAAACAGGAUUAGAUACCC
rnacentral:rRNA from 1 species